UAUAAAUUAUCUAACUUUUUUAUUUUUCAAAUAAAUUAGCCACAUAUAAACUAGCCGCUAUUUUAGUUACAACUGUGUUUUCAAUUGAAGUAUCCAACAGUUUGGCUAGUUUACAAACCAAAUUAUACGUAACAUUUUUAAAUUAUACAAGCCCGCCAAAAAAAUACCUGUAAUCGAAAUUGUUUGGUUGUGACACCUCUACCACAGUAGCAAAACUACAGGUGGUUAUGCAACUAAAUAUACAAUUAAUUUUUGGUUCUAUAACUUAAAUGUUUGUUUUUUUGGGCAUAGUUAUUAUUAAUUUGCGUCUUUUUAUAUAAUUAAUCGAUUAUUGGUUUAUUUCUUGCAGUUUACUAAUAUGUUCGCAUGAGUUAAAACAGUUGGCGUCAAAUUGUCAACACAACAAAAAUCCUAACCUCUCUUUUGACAAUGAGUUUCCUUGAAGACCACAGCUACGGUUCUUUGCCUCAAAUUAAGAGAGAAAUUGAUAAAAGUCCAAGUCCUGUGCCUGAUCUUAAUAUAAAAUUGGAAUGUGAGUCUCAUAGUGGCGAUAGCAGGGCUUCGCCCCUCUUUACUGAGGUACCAAAUGAUCAAGUUUUCGCACAGACAUUUUUGAAACAGGAAGUUGACGCGGAUGAAAAUAGCCACUCUGAGGAUGAGCUCCAGAAGGCUUGUAUUGUGCAAGCUUGCCUCAAAUUGUUAGACUCGUCUUCGUCGGAUGAUGACGAGCUGUUACUGUAUUGGAUGUUGUGUAAAAAUAGGAAAAAAAACCUGCGGAAACGCCGGAGAAUUUCAUAAAUAGAUAAAUUAGA